UAAAGAGUGUGUGGUGGAUGCCUAGACUUUGUAUGGCGAUGAAGGACGCAGCGGUCGGCGAAACGCUUCGGGGAGGUGACGAGCAACCUUUGAUCCGGAGAUUUCUGAAUGGGGAAACCUUAUGCGGGUGACCGUAUAGCACGCAGAGUAUUUUGCGUGUGCAUACCUCGGGAAGUGAAACAUCUCAGUACCGAGAGGAAAAGAAAACAAUGUGACGUAUGUCAUAACAUUCCCCAAGUAGCGGCGAGCGAAAAGGGAACAGCCCAAACCGGAGCGUGCUUGCACGAUCCGGGGUUGUAAGGCAGUGAGUCUCGUUUUACGAGAAAAGUUACAAAAUGUAUGUAUAGAAAAAGUUGUUGGAAACCAACACCAUAGUGGGUGAUAGUCCCGUAUUCGAAAUACAUAUAUCUUUUUAUCACUGUUCUUGAGUACUUCAAGACACGAAUAGCUUGAAGGAAUCCACCAGAACUAACUGGUAAGGCUAAAUACAUUGUAGAGACCGAUAGUGAACUAGUACCGUGAGGGAAAGGUGAAAAGUACUCCGAAAGGAGGGUGAAAUAGUACUGAAACCAUAUGCUUACAAGGAGUCGGAGCGGGUAUUUAUAUCCGUCACGGCGUGCCUAUUGAAGAAUGAGCCAACGAGUUUAUGUGUGCGGCUUGGCUAAGGAGUACAGCUCCGGAGCCAUAGCGAAAGCAAGUGUUAAUAGCGCGUCUGCCCCUCGGGGCGGUCGUACACAUAAGACCCGAAGCCAGGUGAGCUAUCCAUGAGCAGGGUGAAGUUUGACGAAAGUCAGAUGGAGGCCCGAACCGGUAGAUCGUACAACGUCUUCGGAUGACUUGUGGAUUGGAGUGAAAAGCUAAUCGAACCUGGUAAUAGCUGGUUCUCUCCGAAAUAGCUUUAGGGUUAGCGUCAUGUGAUCCCCUUGGGGGUAGAGCACUGGAAGGUUUCGACAGGGAGCAAUCUCGCGACACCUAUCAAACUCCGAAUACCAAUGGUCAAGUAGCGUGGCAGUUAGUCUACGGGGGCUAAGCUCCGUUAGACAAAAGGGAAACAGCCCAGAUCUCUAAUUAAGGUCCCUAAAUAUAUACUAAGUACAUACUAAGGAUGUGAGAUUUCUCUGACAAUGAGGAAGUUGGCUUAGAAGCAGCCAUCUUUUAAAGAAAGCGUAACAGCUCACUCAUCAAGAGAUCUCGCGCCGCAGAUAAUCGGGGUUAAGCACAUUACCGAAUUUGAGGGCUUGUGAGUUUCAUAAAGGAAGUAACAGUUUCUGCAACUUCUCCCUGGGGAUACCGUUAAAAUAAAAAAUCAUAAAGAGUUCGCCGCGUAUUAACAACACAUGGAAGCAUCUCUUUAAGUCAAGUCGUCUUUAACUUAAGAAAACAUGACGUUGAUGAUUUUAUAUUUGGUAUCUCCGGGGAAACCAAUUGAUUGUUGCAGUAGUAAUUUCUUCCUUCUUUUAUGAAACUCAUAAGCGGUAGGAGAGUAUUCCACUCUCGCUGUGAAGGCAAAGACGUGAGUCAUGCUGGAGCGUGUGGAAGUAAGAAUGUUGGCACAAGUAACCGCAAGUGGGGUGAGAUCCCCCACCGCCGAAACACUAAGGUUUCCUGGGCAACGUUGAUCGUCCCAGGGUUAGUCGGGGCCUAAGGCAAUGACGAGAGUCGCAGCCGAUGGACAUAUGAUUAAUAUUUCAUAACUUCUUGUAUAUUCGAUGGAGGGACGAAGAGUAGUAUCGUGGGCCACUUAUUGGAUUGUGGUAUGCAUGUCGCGCAUGAGGGAUAGGUAAAUCCGUUCCUCACAACUGUCAGGCAUGUGUCGUGUGAGGGUUCGCCCGAGCGAAGUCACGAGAGCACACUUCCGAGAAAAGCUUCUAAGAUUAGUAUGCAAGAACCCGUACCGUAAACCGACACAGGUAGUGAGGUCGAGAAGACCAAGGCGAACGAGUGAGAGAUCCCCAAGGAACUCGGCAAAAAAGCAGCCGUAACUUCGGAAUAAGGCUUCCCCUUCGCAAGAAGGGGCGCAGCGAAAGUAUUCCUGGCAACUGUUUAUCAAAAACACAGCUCCCUGCGAACUCGUAAGAGGAUGUAUAGGGGGUGACACCUGACCAAUGCCAGAAGGUCAACUAAGGUUGGUGCAAUGUCGCAAGAUGUUGUGCUGGACUUUAUAAGCCCUGGUGAAUGUCGGCGAUAACUAUAAUCGUCCUAAGGUUUGGCACAUAACUCGAAAGGGUGGUGUGCCAAAGGAUUGGGACGGUUGUAGAAAAAAUGUAAACAGAAGCGCAAGUUACCUUACCUACAGUAAUGUAGGCAUAAUCCAAACAUGACUAUCGAGAGACCAGCGUCAUGCGCCUCGAAAGAGGAUGAAGAUAGAGUCCAGAAUAGAGGAAUUUCUGAGCGUAAUUCCUUGUCAGGUAAGAAUAUUGCCUGUCCUGAUGGCGACAUCAGGAACAAAUUCGGCUAUAACGGUGAAGCCUUCGUUCUGCAUAUGCAGAGAAAGGUAAUACCGUGGGAAGUCGUAAUUGACCCCGUAUCGACUUUGGUCACCGCCAUCCAGCGGCGACCAGGAUGGAGUGUUACAAUGAUAAUAUGGCAGUAGCACUUCAUAAUACGCCGACGCUGUCGACGAAACAGCGAAAUCUCGCAGAGUAUAUUUCAGGUUUUUCUGAUGGAGAAGGAUGCUUUUCAGUAUCAUUCUCCAGACGGGACAAAUUUCUGAUCGGGUGGGAGACGAAACCAAGUUUCUGUGUGGGUCAAAACCAUGACAGAGCGGAAGUUCUCUACCUCAUGCAGAAAUACUUCGGAUGUGGAUUUUUGAGAAGAGAUUAUGCAGACAAAACCCUCAAAUAUGAGGUGCGGAGUUUGAACGACCUCAUUACCAAAGUAAUUCCACAUUUUGAAAAGUUUCCGUUACUCUCAGCAAAACAAAAGGAUUUUCGACUCUUCAAGCAGAUAUGCCUUCUCAUGGAUAGAGAAGUACAUGUGACGCUUACUGGGUUAACGAAAAUAACUUCUCUCGCAUUCAAAAUGAAUGGCAGUGGGAAGAGGAAAUACACUCGCGUUAAGAUUCUCGCAGUUGCCCGUCGUCAGAUGAAGAUAUAGUCAGUGCUCCUAGAAAUAGGGGAAUCAAACGAAG
rnacentral:rRNA from 1 species